rnacentral:rRNA from 1 species
UACAGAGGGUGCUAGCGUUGUUCGGAAUUACUGGGCGUAAAGGGUGCGCAGGCGGUUCUGAAAGUCAGCUGUGAAAGCCCCGGGCUUAACCUGGGAAUGGCGGUUGAAACUACAGGACUAGAAUCUGGCAGAGGGGGGUGGAAUUCCACGUGUAGCAGUGAAAUGCGUAGAGAUGUGGAGGAACACCGAUGGCGAAGGCAGCCCCCUGGGCUAACACUGACGCUCAGGCACGAAAGCGUGGGGAGCAAACAGG